UCUUCCCUUCCCUGCGGGCUGGCCGGCAGUCAGAGGUCGUCCCAGUCCCUGCGCUCCGGUGCCUCUGAUCCGAGACCGGCUUAGACCAGAGGAAGAGCCGCCCCGGCUGGAGCAGUAGGACUGAAGGGCCGCCUUCAGCCUGCUCCAGCACAACACCCACCCCAACGGAUACUUGACAGCUUGAGGAAUUUCCAUCAAAACCAACAGAUAACCCAGAAGAGAGAAUUCAAAGUGAGGGGCCAGGUGCACAGCUCAGGGGUCGGCACUGAGACCUUGGUUCCAUCCCCAGCACCGGAAAACCAAAGGAGAAAAAACCUAAACCAAACCAAGACGACGACAAAGCCCACCAAACAGCAGCAGCCACAAAACCCCGGGGAGGGGGAGGGGCAGGAAGAAGGAAAAGGAGGGACAGUUCCUGAAACUGGGGCUGGGCACCCAGGGGAAAUGGAACCUUGGACACGGCUACUUGGCUUUAACGGAUUCCAUAACUGCC